AAAUUCUAGUGGGAUCUAACUCUGGUUCACAAUCUUGCAUAAGAUUCUGACUUUUGGUCAACUCUCAGAACAUGGACGAUGAUGGUGGUCCCACACGAUGACCUCAUUCUCACAUCAAACAUGUGGUCAGGCUGAGGACAUGGAGAGCAGCCCUCUAUCCUUACCUUGCAGCUUGACUUCCAGGCUCUUCCAACAUCCUUGUCCUCUGGAACCUGGGAGACUUGGCCAUGAACAGACAGUUGCAAACAGGACUGAACUGUACACCAGGAAGAGUGGAGCCUGAGGCAUACAGAGGGCAAUGUCUCUCACUCUGUGCUUUUAAACCAGUGAAGAAUGCUCAUUGAUUCUGCCAUGGUGGAGGACAAACUGCCCCAACAGGCAGACGUGCAAGGCCAUUACCACAUGAAACAGGAGUCUGAACAGCACAAGUCAUACAAAGGCUGAUUAAAGGAGAGGUGGGCAUUUGCUUCUCAUAUAAUAGAACAGCCUCUAUUUUCUCCAUUUGCUCCUGCCACAUAAAUAACAUUCAUUGGUGUACUCAGCACAAUGUUAACAAGAGGACUUCUUUUGUGAGGACAUUCAUGUACUCUGAUAGUGAAACAGAAGGGCUUGUUCGUGUAGAAUUUUAUCUAGU
rnacentral:lncRNA from 1 species